UAGGGAAUCUUCCGCAAUGGACGAAAGUCUGACGGAGCAACGCCGCGUGAGUGAAGAAGGUUUUCGGAUCGUAAAACUCUGUUGUCAGAGAAGAACAAGUCGGAGAGUAACUGCUCCGACCUUGACGGUAUCUGACCAGAAAGCCACGGCUAACUACGUGCCAGCAGCCGCGGUAAUACGUAGGUGGCAAGCGUUGUCCGGAUUUAUUGGGCGUAAAGCGAGCGCAGGCGGUUCCUUAAGGCUGAUGUG
rnacentral:rRNA from 1 species